CAGUCGCCGCGGGAAUACGUAGGGUGCGAGCGUUAAUCGGAAUUACUGGGCGUAAAGCGUGCGCAGGCGGUUCGUUAAGACAGAUGUGAAAUCCCCGGGCUUAACCUGGGAACUGCAUUUGUGACUGGCGAGCUAGAGUAUGGCAGAGGGGGGUAGAAUUCCACGUGUAGCAGUGAAAUGCGUAGAGAUGUGGAGGAAUACCGAUGGCGAAGGCAGCCCCCUGGGCCAAUACUGACGCUCAUGCACGAAAGCGUGGGGAGCAUACAGGAUUAGAUACCCCAGUAGUCCCUGUCUCUUAUAC
rnacentral:rRNA from 1 species